UGGUGUCUGUAGGGGCUCCAGCCGAUUAAACAGGAGCGGCCGCCAUGGCGCGGCACCGGCGGCCGGGGCCGUAGCGCCGCAGAGCUCAAAGACCACCCAUCCAGCUCGCUUUGGAGCCUGGCGCUUUUCCUGGCCUUUCUCGGGGUCGCUGCCGCUGUCACUGCCUGGGGAUACGCGAACUACCGAGGGACUCAGGCUAGGGCUCAGAGGGAGGAAAUGCUGAAGUCUUUGGGGACAGAAGGCCAAUAUAUUUUCUCCUCCCUGGACACUGACAGGGACCUGUCCAUCAGCCCAGAGGAGUUCAAGCCCAUUGCUAAGAACCUGAGGGGAAUCAAGAGAGACUAGCAAUGGAUGGAUGUCGAACAUUAGAGAACAGGAAACACUGUCACAUCACCUUAAUGGAAAGCCUCGGUUUCCCAUUGGAGGAAUAUCCCAGCUCCCCAAGGGCAGGGAGAAGACUCCUGAAAAGCUCUCUGGACCUGGAAAAGUACUACAUAAAUGCUGGAAAUCAUUAUUGAUGGUCACUAUCCCCAAUGAGAUCAAUAAUUAUUGAAUAACCAAGGCAAACUAAUGACUGAGAUGCUUCAGAUUCCCAGAGCUCAUUUUGUCACAGGUUUGGAUAUAAUCUCAGCUGCUCUCCCAAAAUGGAAUUUCAGAUACUUUUAUGGCUACAAUAUGCAAUGUGUAAAUAAUAAAGGUUUUUGAAGUGAGAUAA